GGACUGCCUUUUGCAUAAUGAGCCUGCGAGUUGUGGUGUCUGGCAAGGUUAAGCAAACGCGAAGCCGUAGCGAAAGCGAGUCUGAAUAGGGCGCUUAGUCAGAUGCUGCAGACCCGAAACGAAGUGAUCUAUCCAUGAGCAAGUUGAAGCUAGUGUAAGAACUAGUGGAGGACUGAACCCAUAGGCGUUGAAAAGCCCCGGGAUGACUUGUGGAUAGGGGUGAAAGGCCAAUCAAACUUCGUGAUAGCUGGUUCUCUCCGAAAUAUAUUUAGGUAUAGCGUUGUGUCGUAAUAUAAGGGGGUAGAGCACUGAAUGGGCUAGGGCAUACACCAAUGUACCAAACCCUAUCAAACUCCGAAUACCUUAUAUGUAAUCACAGCAGUCAGGCGGCGAGUGAUAAAAUCCGUCGUCAAGAGGGAAACAACCCAGACUACCAGCUAAGGUCCCUAAAUCUUACUUAAGUGGAAAACGAUGUGAAGUUACUUAAACAACCAGGAGGUUGGCUUAGAAGCAGCCAUCCUUUAAAGAAAGCGUAAUAGCUCACUGGUCUAGUGAUUUUGCGCGGAAAAUAUAACGGGGCUAAAGUAAGUACCGAAGCUGUAGACUUGCGCACAACUUAGAUUAUUUAAGUUUAGAAUAUGAGAAACUAAGUUAUAUGUUUAGUUAUAUUUUUACUGAUUUUUAUAGAGUAAAGAUAGAAAUAAAACUUAGUAAAAUCAGUAAAAAUAUUCUUAGACUAAAGUUAAGUAGUUUAAGUUGUGUGCAAGUGGUAGGAGAGCGUUCUAUUUGCGUCGAAGGUAUACCGGUAAGGAGUGCUGGAGCGAAUAGAAGUGAGCAUGCAGGCAUGAGUAGCGAUAAUUAAUGUGAGAAUCAUUAACGCCGUAAACCCAAGGUUUCCUACGCGAUGCUCGUCAUCGUAGGGUUAGUCGGGUCCUAAGUCGAGUCCGAAAGGGGUAGACGAUGGCAAAUUGGUUAAUAUUCCAAUACCAACAUUAGUGUGCGAUGGAAGGACGCUUAGGGCUAAGGGGGCUAGCGGAUGGAAGUGCUAGUCUAAGGUCGUAGGAGGUUAUACAGGCAAAUCCGUAUAACAAUACUCCGAGAACUGAAAGGCUUUUUGAAGUCUUCGGAUG
rnacentral:rRNA from 1 species